rnacentral:rRNA from 1 species
UACAGAGGGCUCAAGCGUUGUUCGGAUUCAUUGGGCGUAAAGGGUGCGUAGGUGGCGGGGCAAGUUUGGGGUGAAAUCCCGGGGCUCAACCCCGGAACUGCACUGAAUACUGCCUUGCUUGAGCACUGGAGAGGGAACUGGAAUUUACGGUGUAGCAGUGAAAUGCGUAGAUAUCGUAAGGAAGACCAGUGGCGAAGGCGAGUUCCUGGACAGUUGCUGACACUGAGGCACGAAGGCUAGGGGAGCAAACGGG